rnacentral:tRNA from 1 species
GGGAAGGUAAGUUAAGUUUAAACUAGCUGGUUCAUGUCCAGACUAUACUUGUAUAAGUUUUUCCUA